rnacentral:rRNA from 1 species
AUUGAACGCUGGCGGCAUGCUUUACACAUGCAAGUCGAACGGCAGCGCGGGCUUCGGCCUGGCGGCGAGUGGCGAACGGGUGAGUAAUACAUCGGAACGUGCCCAGUAGUGGGGGAUAGCUCGGCGAAAGCCGGAUUAAUACCGCAUACGACCUGAGGGUGAAAGCGGGGGAUCUUCGGACCUCGCGCUAUUGGAGCGGCCGAUGGCAGAUUAGCUAGUUGGUGGGGUAAAGGCCUACCAAGGCGACGAUCUGUAGCUGGUCUGAGAGGACGACCAGCCACACUGGAACUGAGACACGGCCCAGAUUCCUGCGGGAGGCAGCAGUGGGGAAUUUUGGACAAUGGGCGAAAGCCUGGUCCAGCAAUGCCGCGUGUGUGAUGAAGGCCUUCGGGUUGUAAAGCACUUUUGGCGGGAACGAAAAGGACUGUGCCAAUACCACGGUUCGAUGACGGUACCCGCAGAAUAAGCACCGGCUAACUACGUG